rnacentral:lncRNA from 1 species
GCCGGUAGGAGGGAGUGGUAUGGUUGCCAUGCGCUAGCUUAAGUAGCUGGCUUUUGGAGCUACUGUCACGAGCAGUCCGGAUUUGCAUUGGCCUUGUAAAAAAAAUACGCAACUAAUUUAACAUUUCAGUUUGGUUGCAUACUAUAUACUGAUCUGUCGUACCUAUGAAUAUAUAUUUUGUUUACAGAGCAAAUAAUGGCGGAAUUAAUCCUAAUUUUGUAGAUGGUGCCAGUUAAAAUAGGCACUCGCUGAUUCCGCACGCACACACCAGUGUAGUGU